UACGAAGGGGGCUAGCGUUGCUCGGAAUCACUGGGCGUAAAGCGCACGUAGGCGGCUUUUUAAGUCAGGGGUGAAAUCCUGGAGCUCAACUCCAGAACUGCCUUUGAUACUGAGAAGCUUGAGUCCGGGAGAGGUGAGUGGAACUGCGAGUGUAGAGGUGAAAUUCGUAGAUAUCGCAAGAACACCAGUGGCGAAGGCGGGACU
rnacentral:rRNA from 1 species